GAUGAACGCUGGCGGCGUGCCUAAUACAUGCAAGUCGAGCGAACAGACGAGGAGCUUGCUCCUCUGACGUUAGCGGCGGACGGGUGAGUAACACGUGGAUAACCUACCUAUAAGACUGGGAUAACUUCGGGAAACCGGAGCUAAUACCGGAUAAUAUAUUGAACCGCAUGGUUCAAUAGUGAAAGACGGUUUUGCUGUCUCUUAUAGAUGGAUCCGCGCCGCAUUAGCUAGUUGGUAAGGUAACGGCUUACCAAGGCGACGAUGCGUAGCCGACCUGAGAGGGGGAUCGGCCACACUGGAACUGAGACACGGUCCAGACUCCUACGGGAGGCAGCAGUAGGGAAUCUUCCGCAAUGGGCGAAAGCCUGACGGAGCAACGCCGCGUGAGUGAUGAAGGUCUUCGGAUCGUAAAACUCUGUUAUUAGGGAAGAACAAAUGUGUAAGUAACUAUGCACGUCUUGACGGUACCUAAUCAGAAAGCCACGGCUAACUACGUG
rnacentral:rRNA from 1 species